GUGAAAUAUCGUCGGCUGUGCGCCUUUGGGCUGCACGCCGUCGCUCCACACAUUCGUGCACCUUCGAUGGGAGGGGGAGACCCCUCUUGUCGCUUCAUUAACUAGUCAGUCUUGAAUGUAAACAUAUCAUAAAAAUA
rnacentral:misc_RNA from 1 species